rnacentral:rRNA from 1 species
UGGGGAAUAUUGGACAAUGGGCGAAAGCCUGAUCCAGCCAUGCCGCGUGUGUGAAGAAGGUCUUCGGAUUGUAAAGCACUUUAAGUUGGGAGGAAGGGCAGUAAAUUAAUACUUUGCUGUUUUGACGUUACCGACAGAAUAAGCACCGGCUAACUCUGUGCCAGCAGCCGCGGUAAUACAGAGGGUGCAAACGUUAAUCGGAAUUACUGGGCGUAAAGCGCGCGUAGGUGGUUCGUUAAGUUGGAUGUGAAAUCCCCGGGCUCAACCUGGGAACUGCAUUCAAAACUGACGAGCUAGAGUAUGGUAGAGGGUGGUGGAAUUUCCUGUGUAGCGGUGAAAUGCGUAGAUAUAGGAAGGAACACCAGUGGCGAAGGCGACCACCUGGACUGAUACUGACACUGAGGUGCGAAAGCGUGGGGAGCAAACAGGAUUAGAUACCCCCGUAGUCCCUGAGCGGGCUGGCAAGGCGCAU